AGAGAAAUUAGAUAGAUUUCGGGAUCGAUCGAUCGAUCACCUCUCAAUCCAGUCCUCUUAAAUAGAGUAGAUUGCGGGCGGCGCGGCGCGGCGCGGAUGUCGUCGUCGUCGUUUCCACCGUCGCUCCUGCGCUACUACUGCCACCAGUGCGACCGCGACGUCUCCAUCGCCCCUCCCGCCUCCCCCGACGCCGACAUCCUCUGCCCCCGCUGCGCCGGAGGAUUCGUCGAGGAGCUCCCCCCGCCCCCCCAUCACCCCUUCCUCUUCGAUCUCCGCCACCCCAGCGACCUCUCCGCCUUCUUCGGUCCGCCCUCCCCCGCCUCCCCCAACUUCGACACCUCCAACUUCCUCCAUGACCACUUCGGCGGCCUCCUCUCCGGCGGUGCCACCAUCCAGAUCGUCCUCGAGGGCGCGCCCACCCUCGCCCCAGGCCUCAGCCUCGGCGACUACUUCAUGGGAGCCGGCGGCGGCCUCGAGCAGCUCAUCCAGCAGCUUGCCGAGAACGACCCCAACCGCUACGGCACCCCGCCCGCCGCCAAGUCCGCCGUCGCGGCACUCCCCGACGUCGCCGUCUCCGCCGACAUGAUGCAGGCCGACGGAGGGGCGCAGUGCGCCGUCUGCAUGGACGACUUCCACCUCGGCGCCGCCGCCAAGCAGCUCCCCUGCAAUCACGUCUUCCACAAGGACUGCAUCCUCCCAUGGCUCGACCUCCACAGCUCCUGCCCCGUCUGCCGCUUCGAGCUGCCCACCGACGACCCGGACCACCAGCACCAGCGCGCUUCUGCUCCCGCUGCCUCUUCACCCAGGGUGGCCGAGAGAAGGUUCAGGAUAUCGUUGCCUUGGUCUCUCAGGGCCGCCUUCGGUGGUGCCACCACCCAGGCGGAGACCAGCAAUCUAAACACUCAGGCUCAGGAGGGCAGGAGGGACGAUGACGCGCCUUCUGGUGGCAACAGCAGCAGCAGCAAUGCAAGUGGUGGUCCUCAUCGUGGAUACGAUGAUCUUGACUGAAGGCUUCGCAGCCUUCUGAUGAAGAGGGGCGCAGGGGAAUGAGGAGGUUCGAUAUACCUGCAGAUUUCAGGAAGCAAUAUGCUCUAUUUACCUGUUAUUGUGUUAUUACAUUUUAGCGGGAACUGUCAAUUUACAUCAUCUGUUGCUGCCUUCUAUACAAUCGACGACUGCCAAAGAAAAACAAAAAUAUGCCAUCCUUGUUUAAUGUUUGUCAAUCAUCUCUGCAUUCUAUAUCUGGUGAGUAGCCAGCAAAGCAUGGCAGCAAUUGGUAAUCAGGGUCUUGGUUACGGGAUGGAACCAGUUGGAUAGCUGUUACCUAUCCACGACUUCUGCUGGGCCGUGCAGCUUUCCCUGCAUUAAAAUGAUUUACUAAGCAGUCAGACUGCUUGCAUUUUUCUUUUUAGUUUAUUAGUGUGUAUGAAAGCGCUUGUCGAUUAUGAUGUCCUUGAGUUUAUGGUGUCUUGUUUUUAUCUUUGUUGGUUUGGUUCAAAGCUUCUGUAGUCUUAUUGGGGCAUGGGUUUGCUAAAAAGAAGUGCAAUGUUGAGCAAUUCUAGAUUUGGAAGGAGUUGCACUGUGCAAGCUGAAGUAGGUUGCCAUUUAUGACCGUUAUAUCAUAGAUCAAUGUUGUAUGAUAGUCAAAACUGCAAUGAUGACUCCCUUCGAGAAUAGAUGUCGAAGCAAUAUCAUCCUGUUGAUCUUGUGACGCUGUAUGGCCUGAUGUUGUAAUCAGGUUUAAAUGUACUCCAAAGAUGAAAGAUAACAUAUAUUCAUCUAUUGUGAACCAAAGUAAAUGUGGAUACAAAGUUUGGACUUUUUUUUUUCUUCUUGAGAACUUAGAAUUUGGAGGUAUUUAGAAGGUAGGGUGUACCUUAGCCGAAUGAUGAUGGCUUAAUAUUAUUUGAUAUAUGCUGUGUUUAUAAGUUCUCAGAAUUUUACUUCACCGUAUGCCCUAUUAUGUUUUUGGAGCAUCACUUGAACUGUCAGCUCUAUCAUUAACUCAUUAUGUCAUAAUAUGGUUUUGGGUAGGUUUCCACAAGUGAUUCAUAAUGUCAUAGUCUUGUUUUUCAUUUUGCAAUCUAUUUCUUGUUCCUAAUUAUUUUUUUAAUAAAAAAGUUACAGUUUGUAGUCAUCUAUAGCUGUUACUUUUAUGCGUGCUCCUUGCUUUUUUAUUCAAUUGUUAAUGAAAAGGGAUGGGUUCCAGUUUGUUUAGAAGUUGCGCUGAUAUGACGAUUGAUUAAGAACAGUUAUGAUGUAUUCUUUUUGAGAUGCAGUAAUGCCUUCUCUAUUGGGGGAGGAACGGGACAAGAAACUGAAACUUGUUUAGUGAGCUAGGUUGGCGGCCCGGGACUGAUCGAAGUCUGGGCACAAUUCGGACCAGCUUAUUUCCUUGUAGGCCAAGAUAGUGAUUUGCAUUAUGUCUGGGCAAGGUAAGGAGGGACCAGAGGAGAUGUGCGGUGGAACGAAAACUGGCGCCGUAGUCUCUUGUUUGAUUUACUGGUACGUAAUAUUCUGUAUGUACUGGAAGCGAAGAAGCUUUAUUAGCUUGUCCGUACGUCGGAGCUGGCCUGGCCGGCGGUGUGAUUGGUUUGUGUUGAUUGUUUAGCUCAAAGGAUUCUUUCGGGUUUGGAUAUGGAAGCAGCAGAUAGUCUACUGCAUGAGCUGGGGGUUAGAAAAGACGCAGAUGGGCAACUCUGCCUGCCUGGGGCUGGGGCUGGGAGGGCCGUCUUUCAAGCUAACGGACCCAGAGGCCAAGGGACGCGGAUCCUUGGACGAGCUGCGGGCUUGGGCCCCACGUGUCAGUGGGCGUAAAGUUAAGUCGGUGUUCAGCCAUACAAUUAGGGGAAAAUGCAAAAAUUCCUCAAAAGUUAUUUAGAUUUUGAUUUUCCCUCUGAAGUUAUUUUGUUGAAAAAAAAAACUCUUCAAAAGUUUGGCUUUGUUGUAAAACCCUUAAAAAAUUAAAAAAAAAUAAAAAAAAUUCGUAGCAGGUUUUAAAAUUAUCUCUAGUUUUUUUUUAGUAUUUUUGUGAUUUUUUUUUAAUUUUUUAAAUUUUUGGGUGUUUUUUAAUAAAGUCGAAUCUUUGGAAGGUUUUUUUUAUUAAAAAACAACUUCUAGAGGAAAAUUAAAAUACAGGUGACUUUUAGGAAGUUUUUAUAUUUUUCCAUAUAAUUAAUUAUUUCAAUAGCCCACGAGGGGCUCGCUUCGCAUGCCAGAUUUAUUUUCCCCUUAUCUCUUCCACUAACCCAAUGCAACUUUAUGCAACUAAUCCAUACUUUCUUUACCAACGACCUACUGCCUUAAGCUCUCUUUUAGGGGAAAAUAUAAAUUUAGAUAAUAUAUCUGAACGUAUUUAUUGAAAUAGAUAAUAUGUGGGUGUAUUUACAAAUCUAGAAUAUGUAUUCGGUACACAGUAUGUCAAAAAUUAUUUGUAUUUGGCACAUUGUGUGUCGAAUACAGGUAACAGUGCGUAUUCGGCACACUGUGCGUCGAAAUGUCUGUUUUCUGACAAUUUUUUACGUGUGUUAUUAUUUUAUGUAAUUACCAAAUAUGGUUGUGGCUGGCUACGGUUCGUUUCUGUCAUCUGAUACCGACAUGUUAUUUAUGUAGUUGACAACUUUCAACUAAAUUCGAAACUAUUUGCUAA